CGGGUGGGCUGUAAAUCCCUUCCUGCUUCGGGUACUGCCGGGAGAGAGUGAAACCACUGAGCAUCGGGGCCAGCUGAUAGGCGAAGAGAGAACAGAGAAUGGAAAAUUAAUAGCAUUUAUUUAUAAAUGCAGUUUGCAUUUGGUAUGAGCACAUCAAUCCACCCCUUGGCCAGUCUGUCCUGAUGGGAGUAUAUUUGCCUUUGUGGGCUAGGUAUGUCCAGGAGGUGCUCAGACUAACCUUACAGCGAUGCACCACUGAGAGAAAGAAGUGAAAAACCAACACUCAGUAGAAAGUGUCAUUUACAGUGAUCUCUGAACCUCAGACAGGGGCAUGUCCUGGGAGAGCACAGCAAUCUGCAUCUGUGUGGCCUCUUUCUCAGAAAGGUGCUGGAGGACACUUCUCAGCAGUUUAACACUCUUGGACAAAAUGUAAAUUAUAAAGAAAUCACAACAAACAAAAACAUUGCUCUUCUGAUGCAGUUUCCGAUGACCUCCCCUGAGUUAAGAGCAUCCUGAAAGAUUUAGGAUGGGAAGAGAACUUGAAAAUAUUAGGCAAAUUAUCUGGAUGUUUUCCUACAGAACAAAUACUGAAUUUUCCAGCAUGUAAAAAAAUAAGAACAGCAAAAUAGGUAAUGAUUCUGAACUCUUGAAACCCUAAGGAGAAGUCACUUUGAGGACUGAGUGUUAAAGCCUUACUUACUUAUUUUAAUUUCUUUGACCUGCAUAUGAAAUAGGACCCCAAGAAGGCCACGAACAGCACGGAGCCUCCAAUCAUUAAUGCCAUCUGCAGCGUGCUCAGCAGCUGGAGCCGACCGGAGAUUUUAGUUCUGAACAUUUCUGCUUUCUCAUCCCCAAUAACAGCAGACUGAAACAGUGCAAGAAAAACAUCAGUGAAAGGUACAUAUGCAAGACCUUACUUGCUGAAUAUACUCUUUGUGUGGUGCAAAUCACAGCGUGAGAUUCAGGGCACCAAGACUGAAAAAGUUAGGUGGGUUGUUGUUUUUUUCAUUUGUUUGUUUAUUUCAAAUUAAAGAAUAUUAAAAUAUACUAACCUCAUUUAGCCAAAGAACAGGGAACACAUAGGCUUUUUUAACUUUUUUUAAAGGUCUGAAAUGAGAAAAAAAGUACAGCAUGUUACUUUAAGUUUGCUACAUAAGCCCACUCACUACUUAAACUUUUAUUUUUCUUCUCUAACUAUAUAUUUCUGUCUUCAAGAUGUACCUCUUAAAUAUACUUUUGGAGUGGAAAAAAAACAAAACCAAAAAACUAAAACUACAAUUAAUGGCAGCCAUUUUACAUAUUGGGCAACCAUCAUUUCCUGUCUAAUCUUCUGUAUAUAGGCAGUCAGACACAGAGAGGGAUAAAGAUCGGUGUGGUGCUCAUAUGUACAAGAUACUUAUCCAUCAUAUGUACAAAAUGUUUAUCCAUGUACAUUUGGGCCAAUGAAGAGGAAAACAAAACAACUAGAAACACAUUUACCAUUGUGAUAAAACCAUCUAGUGACAGGGAAUUCGUAAAUUCUCUUUCUCAUUGGAUUUAGUACAGAAAAUAUAGUUUGUCUUUCUGUUCAUCCUCAUGGCCCCAUUUGGGUUUUAUAAGAAUGUUAUUUUAAAGAAAAUUUUGCCUUGUAAGCUUCUGUAGGGAAGUCAAAUGUGUGUUAAAACACCUGGGAGUGUCCUGCUCAGGAAGAUUUACUCUGAACAAGCUUUGGGGAAGUAUUUUUAUUCCUUCUUCUCUGAGACAUUUCUACUGAUGCUCCCACAGACCUGUCAGCCCACUUAAAAGAAUCCUUAAAAAUAAAAUAAAGAAGUAGCACUUACUCAAUUCUUGUUGAAGGCCUCACAAGGAGGUUUACUUGCAGCCUUUUUGCAAAUCGUAGUGUAAAACCAGUCACCUAAAACCAGUGAAAAACAUCCAACAAGAUAUUAAUUUAAACUUAUUAAUUAGAUGCCAAAGUCUAUAUAUGGAGUGUGUCAAAAAGCACUUUGGGAUUAUUUUAUCCUUAUGUUUUCAAGGAUUAAUUUUUAUGAAAUGGUAAUGUUUCUAAGGGUUUCUCAUUUCUCAAAGAAGUUCUAAUUUUGUGGCUUUACCAUAGUUACCUUUUAAUUUACAUUUAAGCAUGAAGACAAAGUUAAAAACUGCUAAAUCAGUCAUGACAUAUUUAAUAUAAAGAGAUGUCUCAGGGAUUUUUUUCCACCAAAAAUCAGCUAAAUUUUAUUUUUCAAAAUGAAAGAUAUUUAACUUGCAUAGGGCUGAAAACAAACCUUUCAUAACAGGACAAACAGAUGUAUACAAAGGUCAAAUCUUUUCUUCACAUAUUUCUUCUACUCUCUGUCUUUCACAAGAAAAAAGGCUGUGAUUCUUGAAAAUUUUGUGUAAUAUUUAGGAAAAUCUCAUUGAUGUCUCUAUUUCAAAUAAGGUGAAACAAAGAUUUAACUUCAUUUCUCCUCACUGAAGUUACAUAGCUUAAUUGCCUAAUUUUAGUGAGAAAUUAUUAAUUUUAUUUUUUGUUCAAAGUAAGAGCAAAAUAGAAUUUUGGAACCUUUGAGUUCAUCAUACAAUUCAGAAAACUUAGGUAAAUGCACUUAAAGAUCUGAAUCACUGAAACAGAAAUAGAGGUAAAUUUUUAAGAAGUCAAAAUAAAUUCAUUCUGUUUGGCAGAUCUGCUGGACAAUUCAAAUCACAAAGAUUUAAAUUAGGUCCAUUUAAAUCAGACUCUUCAGAGAUCUAGCAAUACAAAAUAAACUCAUCUAUGUUUAUUUAGUUUCAAUUGAGAUAGUAAUUAUCAAAAAAAUAGUUAAAUAUAUAUAUAUUUUUAAACUAAGUGUAGAGGAAAGAAAAGUUUCAUAGAAUAUAAUUUUCUCAAAGUACCUGAAGAUCAUAGAAAAGCUACAACAUAUUUCACCCUUUUCAGAAUCUAUUCAAUCCCUUGUUCUCAAUAAGUAAAAAUCAAAACAGAUUUUCCAAACCUUGAAGGUCAGAAUGAGAGAAAGUUCUGCUCUAAAUUUCCCCUGUUGAAACCAUACCACUUUGAGAGCAGACCUUAGAAAAGCAAGCAUGAAAAUACUGCAUCUUCUGCUUGUCCCUCUGGUAAAAGGCACACUCUACUACUAUUAAAUUUAAACAUUGCAAGUUUCCCAAGGUACAAGUACUAAAUACUUGGACUUACAGGCUCUAUGUCUAGAUAUGUCUCAUGUUCUUUUUCAUUUGGGCUCAGACCUUCCACGUUAUUCAAUACAGAUCCACUUGCAUGAAGGAAAUGAGGAAGAGAGAUAUAUACUGGUCUUUCUAUUAAAAAAAAAAAAAGAAA